GUGGGGGGGAGGAGGGAGUGGGCCUCCACACUAGCAGGGGAGCACCCAUCCUCUCUCCUCAGGGAACCAGGUCAUUCAUUCAGUUGACUUUUAAUGUACUUCUAACUUGUGCUGCUGUCCUGUGUGGGAGCAGAUAUACUGUGUGUGUGUGUGUGUGCGUGUAGGGUGAAUCUACAUGGGAACACUUGGUUACUGAAUGCUGUGUUAAAUUGCACUCAAUAAACUGAGAAUGCCUGUUGUAAAGAAGCCAAUGUUUGCAGUGAAUGUUUCUGUGUGUCUUGGCAGAGUCCUCGUGAUCAGAAUGAAACACUGUAGUUGCGUUCAUUUAAUGUGAUAAACACAUUCCAAACACUAACAGUUUGCUACAUGAAACAAGCAGAGGCGGGUGGCAUUUAUGUAUUUUAUUAGAUUAUAAUCUGCAGAGUUUAAAAUAUUAAAUUGCUUUUAACUUAGUUAAUAAUUAAAAUACAUAAAAAUGAAAGCCAGAACUGAAGAACCCUGCAAACAAAAACAAAACAAUAAAUAAAAUAAAAAUGGAGGAUUCUAAACCCAAUCCUCCGACAGAGAUGCCAGACUGAGGGAGCCUGCUGCAGGUUCCUUUACAGUGAAGUUCAAGCAGACUGAGGGACCCUGC